rnacentral:lncRNA from 10 species
ACAGGGUCUCACUCUGUCACCCAAGUUGGAAUGCAGCAGCAUGAUCACAGCUCAUUGCAGCCUUGACUUCCCAGUCUCAAGCAAUCCUCCCAUCUCAGCCUCUUGAGUAGCUGGGACCACAGGCACACACCACCAUUUAGCCAGGCGUGGUGGUGUGUGCCUGUGGUCCCAGCUACAGUGUCUCUCUAUAUUGUCCAGCCUUGUCUCGAACUCCUGGGCUCAAGUAAUCUUCUGUCUCAACAUCCCAAAGUAAUUUCCCAAAAAAGCCCUCUGAAUCUCAACCACAUCCUCCAUCCAGCCCCAGAGUUAGAUUGUCCACCUGCGGCCCUUGCAGUAGCGUCA